rnacentral:rRNA from 1 species
UAAGCGGAGGAAAAGAAACUAACUAGGAUUCCCUUAGUAACGGCGAGUGAACCGGGAUGAGCUCAAAUUUGAAAUCUGGCGUCUUUCAGGCGUCCGAGUUGUAAUCUAUAGAGGCGUUUUCCGCGCCGGACCGCGUCCAAGUCUCUUGGAAUAGAGUAUCAAAGAGGGUGACAAUCCCGUACUUGACGCGACAACCGGUGCUCUGUGAUACGUUCUCAACGAGUCGAGUUGUUUGGGAAUGCAGCUCUAAAUGGGUGGUAAAUUCCAUCUAAGGCUAAAUAUUGGCGAGAGACCGAUAGCGAACAAGUACCGUGAGGGAAAGAUGAAAAGCACUUUGGAAAGAGAGUUAAACAGCACGUGAAAUUGUUAAAAGGGAAACGAUUGAAGUCAGUCGUGUGAAAGGUAUUCAGCCGUCUCUGGCGGUGUAUUUGCCUUUCACGGGUCAACAUCAGUUUAGUCCGGUAGAAAAAGGCUGGAGGAAGGUGGCACCCUCGGGUGUGUUAUAGCCUCCUGUCACAUGUGCCGGAUUAGACUGAGGAACGCAGCUUGCCGCAAGGCCGGGGUUCGCCCACGUACAAGCUUAGGAUGUUGACAUAA